UUUAAUUGAUGAGUUCAUGGAGGUGCAUACAAAUAGCAUGACGCAUACCUUGUCCAAAGUUAAUGAAGAAUUGACAAAGCUAAAAAUUCCAGACUGUCAAAUAAAUGAAAUAAUAAGUGGGUUAUCUAAAGAAAACUUACUUAAGAUGUAUAAUGAGGGAUAUUUUAAGUCAGAUCAGACUCGGAAGUCCUUUUUCAAAAAACAUUUCAAUUAUGUGGAGCCUGUGCAGGUGUACCUAGGCUGUGAUGCAUCAGGGAAAGAGCGCUUUUGUCAGUACAUACCAGUGAAAGACACUCUGAAGGCAUUUCUGAACAAUGGAUCUGUUAAAGAGCAGUAUGAUAAGGCCAAGGAACAAACAUCACAAAAUCCCCAUGUACUUGAGGAUAUAAGGGAUGGGAGAAAUUUUAAAGAAAACACUCUUUUUAAAGAGUCUAAAUCAGUAGUGUCUCUAAUUUUAUAUCAAGAUGCGUUUGAGGUAGUUAAUCCCCUUGGCUCUGGAAGAAAAAAACACAAACUAGUUGCUGUGUACUUGACACUUUCAGAAAUCUGUCCCCAUAAUAGAUCAUCUAUUGAUCCUAUGCAAUUGGUCAUGCUUUGUAGAGAGGAAGAUUUUAAGUUUUUUGGGCAGCAACAAGUUUUCACACCUCUUUUGAGUGAUCUCAAGGACAUGGAGGAAUGUGGAAUUGUACUGGAGAAUGGAGAGACAGUGAGGGGAGCGGUGAUUGCCAUUGUUGGAGAUAAUUUGGGGUCACAUAGCAUCGGAGGUUUUACUGAGAAUUUCAGUAAGAGUAGACAUUUCUGCCGUUACUGUCUUAUAAACAGAGACAUGUUUGAAAGCAAAGGCACAGACUUAGGACCAACAAGAACAAAACAGAGUUACCGAAACAGUGUGGCAAUGUCUGAAGGGCAAGAAAUGUGUGAUGGUGUCAAGUUUGACUCUGUGUUCAACUGCCUAAAACACUUUCAUGUGUGUGAUCCUGGGCUUCCUCCGUGUUUGGCACAUGAUCUUUUUGAGGGAGUUGUUUCAACAGAUCUGGCUUUGUACAUAAAACAGCUUGUCACUAUAGGGAAACACUUCAGCUAUGUUCAGCUGAACAGAAACAUAUCUAGCUUUAAGUUCUGUGGAAGUGACAUGAAUAAUAAGCCAUCUGAAAUAAAACCUGAUGGUGGAAAGUUGACAGGACAUGCAGCUCAGAACUGGUGUCUGCUUCGAUUGCUCCCAUUACUAAUUGGGGAUCGAAUAAAAAAUCCAGUUGAUGAUGAAAUUUGGCAGUUGUGCUUGAAGUUAAGGGAGCUUGUUGAAAUGAUAUGUGCACCAAAAAUUCAUCAUGAUCAAGUAGCCUACAUGAAAUGUCUGAUUGAAGAAUAUGUGUACUUAAGAGCUACCUUGUUUCCAGAUGCACCACUGAAACCAAAACAUCAUUUUUUACUUCACUACCCUGAACUCACACUUAAAUUCGGACCACUGAUUAGACUAUGGACUUUACGGUUUGAAAGCAAGCACACAUAUUUUAAACAAUGUGCAAGAAAAUUACGAAAUUUCAAAAACCUUGGGAGUACAUUAGCUGAAAGACAUCAGCUAUUGCAAGCCUAUUUGAGUGCUGGCUCCAUCUUUCCUCCAAAUGUGCAAGUAGGUGAAGCAGAUGAGUUUCGCAGUCACCUGUACAACACCCACAUUCAGGAAGCUGUAAGGAUGCAAGGCAUUCAUGACUCCACCUUUGUAACAUUAACUGCUACAUACAAAGGAACCAAGUACCAGACAUCAAUGGUUGUUGUGGUAGAUCAAACUGAUGAUGUAUACACAUUUGGAAAAAUUGAAAUGAUUCUGAUACACUUCUCAAAAUUAUUCUUUGUUGUUGAAAAGUGUAAAUCAGUGCCAGUUGCUGAUCUGGGUUUACACUUUCUGCAACAAGAGUCAAGUCCCCAUUAUUUAUGUGUAAACGCAGAGAAUCUAGCUGACUAUUACCCUCUGCCAAUAUACAAACGAUUUGAUGCUAAUUUUGUUGCACUUCACCACUCUGUUUGUCUUAGGUGAGAAGCUAAAAGAUGGAAGCCGUCAUUAGAGGUGUUCUCCCAAUGCUGGAUGAUGAUCAACUUAACCACCUGAUAUCAGAAUUGACUAGAAUUGGUGUGAAAACAGACGACGACCUCCAAUAUUUAACAUCAGAUGACCUCAAAGACUUCCUUUCACCAAUAGACUGCAGGAAACUAAUUCAUUUUUUCAAAAUCAGAGGUUAGUCAUUUGUAUAUAAUAUAAUAUACAGUAGUAAAAAUCUGUUUAUGUGGGUUUUAACCCCUUACUAGACACCCCCCAUUUUCAGCAUAGAGAC
ensembl:lncRNA